GCUAGGUCAAAAGGUUUCACGAAUCUGUCUAUAUCCUACUAACAGCAAGCGAUGAAAAAUAUAUCUACGUGGAUAUCUUUAAAGCAUGAUGCUCCGUAUCGAUUAGAGAAAGGACGAGACAUGUUUGGCAUUUGACAAAAGCGAGAAAGAGAAUUCUAGUACAGGA